CCCAGGGGAUGGAAAAGCUCAGGAGCAGAUCCUUGGUGUUCCCAGGGGAUGGAAAAGCUCAGGAGCAGAUCCUUGGUGUUCCCAAAUGUGUGGAAAAGCUCAGGAGCAGAUCCUUGGUGUUCCAGAGUUGUGGAAAAGCUCAGGAGCAGAUCCAGCUCAGGAGCAGAUCCAGCUCAGGAGCAGAUCCUUGGUGUUCCAGAGUUAUGGAAAAGCUCAGGAGCAGAUCCUUGGUGUUCCAGGGGAUGGAAAAGCUCAGGAGCAGAUCCUUGGUGUUCCAGGGGAUGGAAAAGCUCUGGAGCAGAUCCUUGGUGUUCCAGACUUGUGGAAAAGCUCUGGAGCAGAUCCUGGGUGUUGGCCCCUGUGACCCCCCAAAUUCCGGCCCCAGCAGCGUUGUCCCUGCUGGUGUGGGACGAGCUCUGUCCCCGUGAGGAGGACACGGAGCUCCCGGCCUCUCUCAGCUGCACUUUUGGUCUCCCUUUUUUUUUCCCCACAAGGUCCUGCAGUUCCUUUUUUGGGCUUUUCCAGAACUUCCCAAACCUUCAUCUCUCCUCGUAUCUUCACCAGGUCGCCCUCAGGUGUGCUGCCCACGAGGUGAGGAGGUGUGAGGAUUCCUGUCCUCCCUGCCAGAAGAGACAUUCUCAUUUGGAAAGGCAAAAAAGGAAAAAAAAAAAAAUCAGCCAAAUCUGCUGGGAAAUGUGA
rnacentral:lncRNA from 1 species